rnacentral:rRNA from 1 species
UGUCGAUGUCUCUGUACACUUGGAUAACUGCUAGAAUUUCUAGAGCUAUUCCUUGCAUUAAAUACCCACUCAAGUAGCAUUUAUUAGAUUGAAACCAAUGCAAAUGGUGAGUCCUAAUAACUGUGCGGAUCGCAUUGUAUGAUGCGUUAAAUCAACUGCUUUUCUGCCCUAUCAAUUUUGGAUGGGUGUGCCCUGUCCACUGUUGACUGUGGCGGGUAACGGACGAUGGUUUUCGACACCGGCGAGGGCGCCUGAUAUAUUCCGACCAAGGGAACCGAAGGAAGCGGGCCCACUUCUUACCCAAGGCUAAUGCACCCAGGUUACCCCAAGAAAUAACGAUUUUGGGUCUUCAAAAAAUAAAAAUUGGAGAGUCAACCAUUGCCCUCCCUUAUCAAGGAUCAAUUGUAAGGCCCGUCUGGU